rnacentral:lncRNA from 1 species
AUGCCAAAUAGCAGUAUGUUUUUCAUAGGUGUGAAGGAAGGAAGUUUCUUAACAUUUAGAAGUAGUGUUUUAAAAGAAGGUGAAGUGGUAUGGCAUGCAAAACAGAUAUUUGGAAGCAUGAGAGGCAGAGGAUAUGAUUGCAAGAAGAAAAGCAGCAAUCAUCUCCAUAGCAGAGCAGCAACAAAUCUCAGGCAGGAUGGGUACCCACAGGUGCACUCUGAGUGACUGAUGGCAGAAAGCAACACUCUGCAAGUUCCAUCUGUGGAGUCAUCUUACUGCUUUGUAGCUGUUCCUGUUCUGCAGUCAGAACAAAAACGAGAGGGAAGCUGUGGUACUGCAUGCUGUUGAGUGUUUGGCCUCCUGAGGGGAUUGUAUCCUAUAAGGAUAAUCAGACAGAAGUUUAC